rnacentral:rRNA from 1 species
UACGUAGGGUGCAAGCGUUGUCCGGAAUUAUUGGGCGUAAAGAGCUCGUAGGCGGUCUGUCGCGUCUGCUGUGAAAACUCGGGGCUUAACCCCGGGCCUGCAGUGGGUACGGGCAGACUAGAGUGCGGUAGGGGAGACUGGAAUUCCUGGUGUAGCGGUGAAAUGCGCAGAUAUCGGGAAGAACACCCGUGGCUAAGGCGGCUCUCUAGUACGGUACUGACGCUGAGACGCGAAAGCGUGGGGAGCGAACAGG